UCCUCUCUCUCUUUCUUUCUUUUCUGUCUUCCUUUCAAUGUGUGGUGGGGUGAGGAGGCCUGCUAAUGAAUGAGAAAGGAAUCCUCCGCUCUUUCUCUGUCCAUUUCCCCACCCCACCCCCUCCUCCCCGUCUGCUCCUUUCAGGCUGGCUGUUGGGACAGGAGGCUUCCAGGGUUCACACCAUCUUCCACAUAAUAGGGUAGCAUUUUACACCCAUCCUCUGCCUGGCAGGUGGCAAUGACGUCAUGUUUGAAGUCAGCCCAAGAAGCUGAUGGAGCCCCCCUGCCUACUCCACUUCUGACAAGCCAGUUCAUGGAUGCUGUCCACAGAUUUUUUUCAUUGCUGGUGGUUUAAUGCUCUCUGUAGCCUUGUAAUGAUUCAACCAGACAGAGGAACCAAAGUCGAUCAGUCCAUGACUAAUAGGGACUCUCCGGUCCCAGGCUUCACCACAUUCUGAGCAGCCAACAGGUGCCACAUGGGAUGCAAGCAUCAUGUGUAAGACAGCAAGAGUCUGCAGCAGCUUGAAGCUCCAUCUGGCUAAUGGAGAACACACUCUUGGGGUACGUAUUGGUUCCUAACUCUCGUCUUCCCUGGACCGACAGCUGGGGUGAGAUGCUUUGCUCAGCCUGCUGAGCCACCAGCAAUCUGGAAGAUUUCUCUCUGACCUGAGAAGGCUGGAUUUCCUACUGAGAGUCUGCAAAGUGACCCAUUGUGAUGGAGCCACAUCCACCAGCAACGAAUGACUGUCCACUCAUGGCUGAGUCAAAGGUCUGCUGGUAAACCCUUUCCUUUUAAGAAACCCCCAUUAUCAGGAGGACACUCUAUGAGGAUUGGACUUGUGACUCCAGGAGCAGUUUCCCCUCGGGUUCACUUAAGGUAGAAUGGGAAGCACUUAGCUAAUUGCUGGAAGAUUCCUUCUCUAUUAAACUAAGAAAGAGCAUGAGGUAGCUGACUCAGCUCUGCUUAAUGGCUUUGGCUUGGUCACUUUGUAACUCUUCUGAGUUAGGAACUUCAGCUAUGGCUGGAGAAUCAGCUCAGAUGGUAAAGGGCUGGUCUUACAAACAUGAAGAUCUGAGUUCAGUGCCCAGAACUCCCAGUAAAUGCUCCAAGUGGGCACUUGCAACCUCAGCUCCAAGGAGAUGGAGACAGGCCAGCUGCUGUCUGGGUCUCACUGGCCAGUCAGCCUAAACUUGAUGAAUUCUAGGACACAGAGAGACUCUGUCUCAGGGGGUGAUAAAAAACGAGGGCAACAAACUUAAACUCUGAGAUAUAUAUAUCACUCAAAGUUGUCUUUUAUCUGCUACACAUGUGAAUCUACAGAUGAACAGGAACACCCUCCCCCCAGCACACUCCCCUACAUGCAUGAAUCUAUACAUACACACAUGGCAGCAAGCACACACCACACACUACACACACACACACACAGACACACACACUAAAAUAUAAUAGACCCCCAAUUUUCUCUGUAUAAUCCAACCUAAACUCCUAAACUUCUCAGUCUUAAGAAUUUAGACAUGAGCUUUCCUGAGGACCUGCACACUCUAUAGUUUAUCUCUUUGCUAAUUUUUAUUUCUACAUUUUUUUUCCACUGGGCCUCCCCGAGUCUGAGUCCAUGGUCCCAACAUUCAUGUAAAUGGGUUUUUAGUUCAUGAAAGGAACUUUGCACAGAAAUUGAGGAUAUGUCCACAUUCAAACCCAAAUACCAGUUCUUGGUAGGGGAAUCAUGAGAGAAUAUGUAUUUAAACCACAUAUACCCUGAACUUUUUUUUCUUACACAAAAAGGUUACUAGUUUUGUAAGAUAUUUUUAGGAAUAAAGUAAGUAUUCAGUUAGCAUGUACAUACAAAUCUUCUGGUACAACACCUGGCCCCCAAACAGCACAAAACCAGAGAAGUUCAUGCUUUUCCCACCAUGACAGGUCUUGAGGACACCUGCCUACCUAUACAAGAAAUGACUCCCUUAUCUAACCACCCAGGGCACAAGCCUGAAGUGUGAGGCUCAGCAGCCAUCUCUAGAGUACACGACAUUUCCUCAGGUCUCCCAUGCACAUAUGCCCAGUGGGAUGUCUGGACAGAAUAUUUGUUCUCACAUCUUUUUAACACAUACAUUAUUAGAUGACUACAGCUCUCCCUAUCAGAGUCUAAAGCAGGAACUUCAUAAGGCUGUGAGCUAAAUAACUGGUGUUCCUAGUACAAAAGGGCACAGGCCUUUCAAUUUCUGAUAAAUAUGUAAACACAGCAAUUUUAGUCAUUAGUAGAGUGUGCUGGCUAGUCUUAUGUGAACUUGACACGCAGAGUAAUCUGGAAGGAGUGAAACUUAAUUGAGAAAAAUGCCUACACAUGAUUCAGCUGUAAGGUAUUUUCUUAGUUAUUAAUGAGAGAGGGACCAGCCCAUUAUGGAUGGGGCCACCCCUGGGCUGGUGGUCCUGGCUUCUAUAAGAAGGCAGACUGAGCAGACAAUAGGGAGCAUGGGGAGCAAGCCAAUAAGCAGCACCCCUCCAUGGCUCUGCAUCAGCUCCUGCCUCCCGAUUCCUGCCCUGUGUGAGUUCCUGUCCUGACUUCCUUUGGUGAUGAACAGUGAUUUGGAAGCAUUAAGCCAAAUAAGCACUUUCCUCCCCACUUGCUUUUUGGUCAUGGUGUUUCCUUGCAUCACUAGAAACCCUUACUAUGACAUAGUGCUUUACAUAGAGCUAGCUUUCAGUAACAUUUCUGAUAUAGUGGUAAGAAGAAAUGGACAAUAUCCAUAGUCCACUGAUCUCCCACUUCUUCUAGUUCCCAAUUAUGGUUGAUAACAACAUGCUCAGACUCUGGAACUGAAAGAGUGUCCUAGCUUUUACACGUUACUCCAUCCAGGGAUGGUCUGUAUCCCUGAGCAUGUGUUUUUGGUUCUAAAAGUCAUUUUUAUUUUUGUGGAUGUUUGAGUUAGAUAGGGUGGUCUUUUGAAAUACAUAUAGAAAUCACUAGGACAAGCAAGCACUAGAGAUGCCUGUACUAUUACUUGGUCUCCUGUUGUACCCAUGAGUCACAGGAAUGCACAGUAUUUGAUGAUUUGUCAAUAGCUACAGUUCAUAUGCUAGAAGCUAUCAGUCUAGGCUUGGCCAUUUGACCCAGCGGCAACAAGACACCAUCUUCCCAUCUUCUUCUAAUCCUAGCUUUGUAGCUGACAUUCUCUCUAUUUUAAUGUAUGUAAUGAUGGAUGUUGAUAUCCCAUAUGCAUCUCAAUCUAGUCUUUGCAAUCUGUGUGUGGUUCAUUGCACUUAAUAAAGAGACCCUCUAUGCUGAUGCAUGUUCUUGCAGAUGGCAACUUUCCUGCCUUCUUUAAGGGUGACUAAUACUUAACUGCAUGUCUUCACUCCAUGACCUUGCCACUCCUUCUUGUAUGAGAGUUGUUUUCAUAUAUUGGCCAUUAUGAACAGUUUUCAACCUUGUGAAUAAUGGUGAAAUAAUACUUUGUAUUUAUGGAAGCCCAUAUUUCUCUAUAAUUUUUCCUCCAAACACUUUUCCUAAAUACUAUUUCCCUGAAGCCACAUUCUUCUACCCAACUGAACCUGGACAAAAAUUUAAUACUUGCCAACAUCUUCCUAAUUGUUUCCAACUCUAAAAUUCUAUUAUGGGAAUGGCUAUUCACAGCAAUACAUUACAGUUUAACACAUAUUAAGCCCUUACUCCAUGUGGUCCUUGUACUUAGUGCUCAUGGUGUUCAGCUUGCAUCUGGAUGUGACUGUUGUGGAAAACACACCCAGCAGAUGGUAACAUAUUGAGGAACUGGGUAGGGCUCAGAUCAAAGAGGACUCAUGCUAUUGGUCUUUUGUGCCUGUUUCUCAAGAGUUCUAAAAAUGUGAGUUAGCCUGAGUAUUUUAAUAAAUGUAAAUCAUGCAUUGUGAACAUAUACUUAAAAGACAUGUAAUUUUCUUCUUUUAUAGCAAAAGGCUACAAAAAAUACGAACCACGGUACUCCCGUCCAUGCAUGACUUGAUGGUUUUCCCUAAGAUGUGCUAUCCUUCUGUCUCUGCCCUUUUCUCUCCUCUCUUCCCCUUCAAAUGACGAAGACUCAUUCAGUUUGCCUCCAAGCUUUCUCAUUUCAACUGUCCUAUUUAUACCCCUGAGCCAAUUGGAAUGGAAGAAAGGGUGGAGGUUAUUUUUUUCCACCUGUUCCAGGAACAUGUGUUCGAAGAAUGAAUUUUUCCCCUCAUUAAAUCACCAUGGCAAUUUUCCAGGAAUUCUUAUUUUAAUAUCAACUAAGGAAGUGCAUGGUUUCUAUCUGAAGGUAAUGAAUUCAAUAAGGUUUUCAAAUACUUUUAAUUUUAUUAUUUAAAAUUGCCUAUAUUGGAAAUUUAGUUUGCACAGAACUGUGAAACAUGAAUCAGUCUAGAAUGUUUCAUCUCUACAUGUAGCUCACCAAUAUAUGCACACUUUAUAUGCUGGAAUCUCACAGAGUAGGCCUAUCUUCCCAGGGCUUACUCCAACGGAGCACAAUGAAGGGGUCUAGAGAAAGGAAUCCCUUCCAGGUAAGCUCAGGAAAUAUGGGUAUAUGAGUGAGAGCUGAGACUAGAGAAAGAGCAAGUCAACGGACCCCAGUGGACAUGAGGCCUUGGGGAAGCAUAGUGGCUAUCCAGAGUUGUCUUGACCUCCACUGCCUCCUCUCCUUACUCCGGGAAGCAUUAGCUCUGUGUGUGUGGUCUGUAGCCCAGGCCGCUCCAGGGGAGCUGAGACCCUCUGGCUGAGGACAUGGGCAACAUCGUCUUCCAAGUGUGAGGAAGACUCUUGGCAAAGAUACAAAAAUGUCCCAGAGCCCACAGUAUAAUGUUGCAUAGUGGUGGGCCCCCAAGCCUUCCAGUACAGUGUGGGAAAGUCAUGUCAUCCUAGGAGAGUGGGCAUAUUGGUCUAGAUUUAUGGAAUGGAUCUCAGAAGGACUAUGGUGUAAGCCAUGUGGCAAAUGGUGAUGUGUGCAGUAGGGGUGUCUUGCGUGACAUCCGACGAACAAACCAAGCAGCAGCUCGUCUAGAAGGUUCCUGCCUCUUCUGAGUCUUCCUCCAGUUCAGAGGGCCACAGUAGGUGGCAAAGGAGAUUUUCAUACAUCUUCCCAAUGGUUAUUCCUGUUAGAGGAAUAGCAGAGUGUUAUAGAGGACAGAUUGUUGGGCUCUGCAUCCUAAACCCAUGGGGACACAGGUACACACAGGCAGAAAAUAUGAAAUCAAUUAAUUACAGAAACCAGCAGAGGGGAAAAAAACAGAACAAAACAAAACAUAACAAAACACCAAGCAGAAACAAUGGGUCAAGACAACGUCCUGGUGCUGUGCUGAGACAUCCUGUUACUCCUCGGGCAGCUGCCGAAUCAUCACAGAGCUUCAUUCCAUUGACUACAAUACCAAUGUCCUUAGAGAGCCAACAGACUACCAUAGCAGAUAAUGAUUACUUUUAUAGUAAUUGAUUUAUCUUCAUUAACUUAUUUUUGACCUAAGAAAUUCACUUACAGUUGCAGUAUCCCAAACAGAUACACAGUACUGCAAUUUGGGGUAUAUAUAGAAAAAAUUCUACAAAGAACAAUAUGGAAACUGUGAAGAGACAGAGCAAGGAAGGAGUUGUAGUGUCUGUAUCUGACCAGGUGUUCAAGGCUUACUUGGGCUCAGUAUUCUACUGUUGCAUUCAGAUGGCUCCUGAGGCCAACCCUGCUGUACCCCAAAUGUUAUGAGGGUUGAUGUUAAGGUGGGGUUGGUGGGAAACGGCAGGACCCUGCUGGACUCAUAGCUAAGACCGUUAGGUUGUGGUAGGAGCCCAUUUGUGUGUACCACUAUUGAUUCUGAAGGGAGGAAAGGGGUCCUUGGGAGAAGGCAGCACAUUAAAAGUGGUAUCUGAAGAGGUUCUCUGUUAAAGAGGAGCUGAGAUGGCUGCUUCUCAAGGUAAGGGCCUAUGUGUUUUGCUCAGAGCAGCUUCUUUUUUGUUGCCUGUCUCCUGGUAUCCUCUGCUCAGUCUUCCAUGAGUGAGACAGCAAGUGGUUGGUAGCAUUAGCCAGCAGAGUCCGAGUACAGCUUCCUACAGAAAGUCUCUGGGUUCUUUUGCACAUGGGUGGAUGGAGAAGGCUUUUGAAAGGAGGUCAUCACAAUCAACCCAUAGUAAAGACACAAGCUCCUCCCCCAUUUUUAGUUUUACCUGAUUCCAUUUCCACAGGGAACAUCUUCAGAGAUGACAGAAAGGAAAUCAAAUGGCUUAGCUGAAGUCAGGGUCUCCUUUUGUCCACUGAAUUAUAAGUGUCCAUGUUAGAGUGCCUCACGUCACUUACUUCCCAACAUCCCUCCACAGUCAUUCAGCCCAAGACAGGCUGAGGGCAAUUACUGAAGAGGUUGGUGAAAGUUGAGACAUUUGGUAUGGUGUUAUUGGGGAAUAGUAAGAGUAUAAUGGCCUUAGUGAUGCAAACAGUUUUAUGACAAUCCACUUAAACAGGGUAUGCUCAAAGAAGGCCUUGAAGUAUAUGCAUUUGUUAGGUUUGUCGUUUCCAAUGCUGUAGCAGAAAAUGUCUGAAAGCAACUUAGGGAACAAGGAGAGAGGGGCUUGCUCUGACUCACGGUUUGAGGAUGUAGUUCAUUGUGGAGGGGGAGGGGAGGGGCAGGAGAGGCAUGUGAAAAAGCUGAUCAUGUUGCAUUCAUAUUCCAGAGAAAGGGGCAUGCUGGCACCCCAGCCCACAGGAUGGUGUCUAUGUGAACUGAGUUUUUCAAUCAGUGCUGACUCAGCCUUGACAUUUCUUCAGAGGCCGAGAUGUUUGUCAAGGAGGAGAUAGCAUAUCCCAUGAGGUUGCUGAUCAAUAUUAGCUACCACGUGGGUAUUUAGAAAUUCACACAAAAGGAAAUCUUCUUUUUUAAAAAAUUAGGUCAAAUCUUCAAGGACUUCCAGAAAGAUUUCCAAUGUGACUACUUUUGGACUGUAUAGCAAAACAAACAAACAGACAGACAGACACACAGACAGACAGACAGACAGACAGACAGACAAACAGACAGACAGAAUCCCCAAGAACCUCAUAGAUCCAGAAUCCCCCAACCCAGUGUUGUAUCAGACACUUACAUAUGGCACAGCUGCGACUGAGAAGAAGUGCACAUAUUCCUGAGCUCUGUGAGUCUGAGGACCUUCCUAUCUAAGGUUUUCCCAGGAGACUGAUAAAAGUAGGCACAUGCGUGUCUGUCUGAACGUAUGCCCUGUUAAUAUUUGAUAUAUUCUAGAGAUACAAACAAGUGGUUAAGAUAUUCCAGAGCUUUCUGUUGGACUUGUCGUUUUGAAUGUGGUUUGAGGUGGUCUCAGGAAGUAUAUUAAAUGGAGUCUUUGCAUGCAUACAUCCUCUGUAAGCACAUGACUUCUCUGUCUGCUCUUGAGUUUAGAGACAUAAUUCAGCAGAUCUUUGCUGCUUCCUUCCAAGAAAUCUAAUCAAACCGGUAGUGGGAAGAACCAAUAUGGUUAGGGUCUGCUAAGGAAGAAAAUAUAUUCAGAAUUUUGCCUCCAGGAUCAAAUAAAUAGAUUUUCUUAUUGUUGCUGCAAUCUGAUCUCCAACGUAUAAAAUGAGGAUAAAAUAAUAAAAAUAAAAGACAUAAAGUACAAAACAGCAGAGUAAAAACAUGAAACAGUCCAGAGGAGUGGGGGCGGGGGAGUAUUUCUUGGUGACAUUUCCUCAGAUAAUAAUGGAAAAAAAAAAGAGGUCUAAUGUUUACCCAGCUCAGCUUCCUGCCAGCUUCCCUAGGGAAUGAAAUCUCUCUCCCCCCCACGGGUGGUACUUACUUUGCUGCAUAUGUAUCGACAUGAGAUUGCCUACAGAGGGAUCACAGCUUGGGGCAAGCUUUGUGGAGGAUGAAGGUGAGCAAAUACUUCUCUGUGCUAAACUGUAUUUCCUUCCAGUGAAGUUCCCAUUCCAAAAUGUAUCCCGACUAGCUGGGCCAGUCAAGCACAAACAAAACCCCGAAUAAAACAAAGCCUUCAACGUUAAUUUCGACUUGCCAUUCCUCACUGGGUAACCUUCACUCAGCUCUCUCCUCAUCGAAGGGUUUUGUGUGAAAACAAGAUGACCGCCUCUGUGCCUAUUUACUCCCAACAGGCAUCGAGAUGGGAGCUUGCACCAAAAGGAGAUGGGAAGAUUCUGAGAACUGAGAUUCAUUAAAUGUUUCUCUCCACUCCAGGAAGGAAUUACAUGCAAACGUCUUUUAUGUUUCAGGGAAACUAAAAGCAGAGAAAGGGCAGCCUCUGUCUGGACACAGCACAGUGAGAUGCCAAAUAGACCUCUGACUUCUGAGACUCCAGAGCCAUGAGUUAAGUCCCAGUUGCUCUAAAUUGCCUACACCCAGAGUACAGAUGUGCCAAUAGAAAAAUUAACUUGAACUGGUAACUACUACAUAAGAGCCUUCUGAAAAGGUUGGGCUAGGAUGAUGAAGGGUUGGGAGUUUGCAAAUAAAGGUAGCAAAGAUACAUGUAGUGGGAGUUCCAUGGUUGGAGCAAGGUACUGAAACAGGACACACUGGGAACAAAUGGAAGGCUAAGCAUGACUGAUGGCUUGUGUGUGUGUGUGUGUGUGUGUGUGUGUGUGUGCGCCCACGCACGCACAAUGUGACCCAUGCAAGAGCACAAGUAGGAAUAUGUUGUUUAACAGUGCCUACUCCCGGUGAUCAGGUGGGAUGCGUCUUGAUUGGUCACUUGCUCUUCCCAGCUUAAGCACAGGACCUUAAUCUCUCUAAAGAUGAUAAAGCAAAAAGCAACCAAACCAGAGACUUGGAUUAUGCUUCAAAGACCCCAAACUGACAAUCCAGAAAGGGCCAAGAUUACAGGUGUGUACCACAAUACCAGGUUGUGCACACUGAGGAUGGAAUUCAGGGAAGUGAGCUUGCUGGGUAGAAAUCUACCAACUGAACUACAGCCCAUCUGCCUGCCAGCCUUCCUUUCCUUUGUGAAAUUAUGGUAUUAAUUCCAAAGUAUAAUUUAAUACCAUUUAAAAUGUUAAGCACAUCCAUGAGAAACAUCAUAAGAAGAGAAAAGCAGAUACUGAGAUGUCAGAUGCUUAACUAAUUUUGUUGUAUAAAUAACAACUAAUCAUUAUCAUUGUUGUGUCAAGUCAAUGUAUACAUCUAUAUAUUUACACUUUCUCCAUGUGAGUGCUUACCUAAUUCUCUUCUUCUUCCUUCCUCGUCUUCCUUCUCACUAUGAAGCUGAGGCUGGCUCUGAGUUUGACUCUUAGGAGCUCCUGAGUGUUAGGAUCACUGGGUUUACUCCAACCACUGGUUUACUCUAAACUCCUCAAAAGUAAGAAUAAACACUUGAAGUAGUCUAAAGUGGAGACAGAGAAUGAUUUCCAAGACACUUCUGAAUAGUCCAACUUAACCCCAGUCCUGGGUUCUAGACCAACUUCCUACCUAACUUCUAGGACCCUCUUUUCCUUGAUGUCAAGGUCUGCAUGGGGGGACUGGAAGAAAAGGUAGUGGUAGGUUCUUUAAUAUACUCUCACAGCCUUGCUGUGGGCAGAUGAGGGGUAAGCCUCUCUGAGGCUUAAGGUGAUGUCACUAUUGUCUAUGAACUUUGGAAUGCCCUGGUGAGGGAUGGACACUGGACAUCUUUCUGAAAGGGGUGUUGGAGAAAUGUGCUUCUAAGCAUAAGAGAAGCAAUUCUCCUAUGUGAGUUGGGACCCCUUUGGAGGGGGUCUAAUGACCCUUUUGCAGGGCUUGCUUAAGGCCAUUGAAAUGACAGAUAUUUAUAUCCUGAUUCAUAACAGUAGCAAAUUUACAGUUAUGAGGUAGCAAUGAAAAUAAAUUUUAUGGUUGGGGGGGGUCACAACAACAUGAGGAACUGUAUUAAAGGGUCACAGCAUUAGGGAGGUUAAGAAGCACUAAUAUAAAGUCAUGAGUUGUUAACGUAGGGGCUACAUGUCCUAAGAAUUGUUUCCGUGUCAGCACAGCCAGAGUGAAAUGGAAGUGAAAUCAGUCUACCAGGGAAGAGGCUAGAGGGAUUAGCAGGAAGUUGAGGGCUUUGCAUGGUAGGCUAAGCAGCUUUGUCUUAACUCGGUGCCCUAGUAGCCUUCCAUUGAGAAUUGGAGGCUCUCUGACAAUUGGUACUUAGUAUCAGUGACAUAUAUUUCAAUAAGAGAGUCAUAAGACUAAUUAAAAGCAUUUAUCAGUGCUCUAGCCAACAGGAAGAGUCAAAGCACGACUUCCCUAAGCUGUAAGCCAUUUCGUGGUUUAGAUCCCCAGGGGCUAAUUAAUACCUUGUGAAGAAAGGAACCAAGAAGCAAUCCUGUGUCCCUUUGGAAGGUGUCAAAAUUUCUGCCAAGAGCUAAGUUCUGUAGUGGUGACAUCUUUUUGCUGUGGACAGAUGUGCAUACUAUCCAAAGGCACACACAGGUCUUUAUGCAUGGUAUCUAAAGCAUACAUGGAUCAACAUUCACACUAUAAAAAAGCAUUUAGGAGCCUACAUGUGUUCAAUAUAGAGGCAUACACAGAUUUACAAGCUUGCUACACAGAGGCAUGCAUGAGUCUAUAUAUGUUCUACAUAAAGGCAUUCAUAGGUCCCUACGCAUACUGUACAACAGCAUCUGUCUAUUUCAAUGCUGAAGAACUCCAAAGUGCCCUGUGUUAUAUCAACAAUGCUGGUGGCUAUAGCACACAGCCCUGGCUUGUCAGUAAUUUAAGCAAGCCUCAUGCCUAGCCAGAUUACACAUAGCUUGUCAAUCCAGUGUCACCUGUGUAAGGGUCUGCCGGAAAUCAUUCUAACCUAUUCCUUGAUUGUUCUGGGACAGGUGUCCUGGGUUGCAAAGCCCUUAGACCGCUAUGGGCUCCCUCACAGUCCCUCUGUUCAUGUGCCCAUGCGUCAGGGCUGAUGUGGAAGGCACUGGAGGCUUGACUAACUGUGUGCAUUGGAAAGGGCCUUUAGCUGAUUUGGUCUUUCAAGGUAUUUUCUGGAAGGUGUUAAUGUGAGAUGCAAACCUGUCUUAAAGCUGCCCACUCUUAUAUGUCCCUUCAGAUACCUCUAUCCAGAUCACUUUGUUCCCAGUCUUUAAUCUGAUACCAAAUGAUGAGACAGAUUAUUCUGUUCAACUUAAAAUUCAGUGUUCAUGGGAUUGAGUAUUUGUAUUGCAAAACUAUAUUAAGAAUCCUAAGAUAUCCUGCCAUGCUCAUAGAUCAGUGCCUGGCCCAAUCAUUAUCUAAGAGGUUUCUGCCAGCAGCUGAUGUGAGUAGAUGAAGAGACCCAUAGUCAAACAUUAGGUGGAGCUAGGAGAAUCUUGCAGAAAAGAGGGAGGAAUGAUUGUAGAGUCAGAGGGGUCAAGGACAUGAGGAGAACAUGGCCCACAGAAUCAACUUAGCAGGGCUCAUCAGGACUCAGAGACGGAAGCAGCAAUAACAGAGCCUGCAUGGGCCUACACUAGGUUCUCUGCUCAUGUUAUUGUGGUAUGGUUUGGUGUUCUGUAAGACUCCAAACAGUGGGAGUCUGGGUUGUCUCUGACUCUUUUGCCUACUCUUGGAAUCCCCUUUCUCCUACUAUGCUGCCUCAUCUAGUCUUAAUAUGAGGAUUUGUGCCUAGUCUUAUUACACCUGGUUAUUCCAUGUUCAUUUGAUAUCACUGGGAGACCUGCUUCUUUUUGAAGGUAAAUGGAGAAGGAGUGGAUCUAGCAGAGAGGGGAAAUGGGGGUGUCUGGAAAGAGUGGAGGAGGGGAAACCGUUAUCAGGAUGCAUUGUAUGAGAAAAGACUACAAAAAAAUGGAAAAAAAAUACUGAAUGUGGGCUGAAAAUAUAUCUCAGUGAGUGGAGUGUUCACCCUGGCUCAGCCUCCUGCGCUGUAGAUGCUAGUUGUGACAACAGUCACCUGUAACCCCAGUACUUGGAAGGUACUAGAGCAUCAGACACUGUCAAUUAGCUAUGCAGAGAGUUUGAAGCUAGCCUGAGUUACAUGAGACCUUAUCUCAACAAAACAAAGCAAAACAAAACUAAGCCCCAAAACAAGACAUGUUAUUUAAUGUUUGUAAUGGUUAGCUUUAUGUAUCAUCAUGGGUAAUGGAUGUCUAGAUCUCUGGCUGAAUGUUACUCUGGGUGUGUCCGCUCCUGGUGAGAUGGAUACUUCAUUCUGUAAUCCCAGUAGAAUGCACAUGAGCGCCAUCCAAGGUGCUAAGAGCCAACAUAGCAAGGCAGAGAUAGGGAUGAUCAGACCUCCAUGUCUUGGCUGGAGCUCAUAUACUGAUCACAUCUGGAUGCUGCUGUUUCUAGAGACCUCACCAUCAGCUCUAACAUCUACUCUCAUGGACACCAGUAUACAGAGUCAAGGGGUUUUCAGGCUCUACCAUUCAGUAAGCCUGUCUCUCCCAUUGACUGCCUCGCUGUAGAUUUCAUAUUAGCUCUAGAGAAAAGAGGGUAAAAGCUUUUGAUAAAAGUUUACACUGCAAGGCCUUGAUUUCUAUUUCUCUUACUCAUUUAAGUCUGUUUUUACAAACUGGUGUUUCCUCCUUGAUUAUAUCUGUUUCUUGCUACAUCUUGCUAAGCCUAACCACCCCCACCCCCAAAAAAGAACUUUCAAAGUGAUACACACAGCUGAAUAACUGAGUUUCAACAUGGAGGGAAGAUUUUCUAUAAUUGCAGUGGACAAAAUAAUUAAUAAUUCAGAGCUUGUAUGGAAAUUCUAAAACCAAUAAGAAAGGCAUAAGCUCAACAGAACAACAAAGAGGGAUCUUAAAGAAGACGAGAGAGAUUGAACAAGUCUGCAAAGACAGAAGGCAAGUCUGUCGUGGUCAAGAAAACAUUGAGUCAAGAGAUGCAGAAAUAUCCUGCCCAUUCUAUUACGAUGUAAAGAGAUCACAAGAGUAUAUUGGCCCCAGGACUCUAAUAAUGUAAAAAUCUGGAAAGGAUUUAUACACACACACACACACACACACACACACACACGCAUAUGUAUAUACAUAUUUUUACUGACUUGAGUUUCCAUUAUGCCAGCCAACACUCUACCACCAAGCUAUGCCCUGGCAACAAUCUUGAAGAAGAAGACAAGUGAACCACAAUACACUUUGUACCACUCAAACUGAGUUAAUAUCAUUGAUAAACAGACAUAGAGCUAAACCUUAGCAAUACCAUUUUAAACAGACACAGUGAUCCUGAAAGGCUGUGUAUGCCAUAUAUUGUGAAUUUAAGAUCACUAAGAUAAAAACACAUGAAAGUAUUUAUGUAUUAAAAUCCUGCCAGCAAGUCCGCCCAAGAACAGUGAGCAUGAUGCCCGAGUGCUGCCUCCACAGGGACUGCAAAGCACAGGAGCAGGAGAUGGAAUGGUGGGACCUGGCUUGUGUUCCAAGUCCUAGCAUCUGUUUUUCAUGGCAGGCUUCUGCAUACUUAUGAAAAGACUCUAAAUAAAUAAGUUGACAAACAAAUAACAUGGUCUGUGUGUGGACCCCUGUGCUCUUGCGAACCUCAGUGAUUAAUCUGCAAUCUGGGUGUAUGCACUUGACAUUCAGAAAGUAGAAAAGAAGAAAGAACAGGAGGAAAGAGGGAGAGAGGGAGUGAAGAGGGAGAGAGGGAGGAAAGGAGGCAAGAAAAUUAUUUUAGUGCUCUGAGCAGGAAACUCCAGCUCUCUAAGAAUGGUGAAAUUAGUCUUGCUUCACGUUUGUUUCUAGCUAUGUGCCUGGAUGCCAGCAGUCUGGUGAUGCAGUCAUUUCUACUAAUUUCUUAGAGGAAGGAAGAGUGAGCCAGGAAUACUACAUACCCAACAAGGGAAAAAUGUUCUUACUAUAAAAAGAACGCCCCUUAAAGGCGAAGGGCGCAAAGGAUGUAGAGGAAACCCCAUAUGUUCUCUUUAGAAAAAAAAAAAAAAAGCUCUGCUUAAUAAGUUUAACUUAGCCAUAAAGACAGAAUGACCCACAGAAGGCUCCUUAGUACUGCUCAAGGACAGAGUAAGUACUCUCUAUGAGACUGUGGGGGGAGCAGACCCAGGAUCCUCCCCCAGACUGAGAGUGGGGCCCACAUGUGAGAGCACUAUAUGGGUAAGGGGUGUCCACACAGCAUAACCACUAAAGAUGGUAGUCAACAAAGAAAUGGCCAGAAUGAGGCUUUUUUUGGGGGGUGGGGGGAAAUUAACUGAACUUAACUUUGAUGUAGGGCAAACUAAAUAUAACUUCAACCUCAGGCGUCAAGGAAGGGGUGUGUGUUAAUGCUGUUUCCUUCACUAGGUUCAGCACAUUGGAAACCCACCCUGUGUAAAAUUGAGACAAAGAUUCAAAUUGAAACGUGACGGUGGCAACCACUGCCUGUUUUACAUAAGCACGUUUAGAACACUGAACGUCUGUUCUGUAGGCAUAUGUUGAACAAAAAAAAAAUUGGGAGAGAGUAGCCCAUUCUAUGAAUUGCCUUAGUGGUAUUAGGUUAAAAUGGAAAGAAUUUAAUAUUUUUAUAAAAAUAAUGUACCAUAAUCCCAUUUUCAGAAAAUGUCUCAGUCUGCCGGUUUAUCUACUCUUUCCUCACUAUUGAUAUCAGUCCACUUGCCUAAUGCAAAUGGAGAUGAAGAUGUUAAAAUGGUACGCAGAGGUACAAGUGUGGACAAGGAUGGGUAUCCUUGAUGGGCUUGGCCACACCCAUGAGCACACCCAUGAGCAGAGAAGUAUGUGGGGAUGUGCCACACUAGAGGGGGGGGGGAAGCUUGUUUUCAUUUACAUAUUAGGGAAGAUAGAGAUGGCUCCAUUAGUAAAGAGCUUGCUUUGCAAUGUUAGGAACCUGAAUACGGUCCAUGCUAAAAAGAGAAAGGAAGGAGAGAAAAAAAAUCCAGGUGUGAUGUUGUUUAGACAGCAUCCCAACCCUGGGGAAGUGGGGGCAGAUGUACGUUCCUGUGGUUCAUUCAUUGGCCUGCCAGUUCAACCUACUUGUGAGUUCCUGGCUUCCCAGAAACUCUGACUUAAAAAAAACAAAACAAAAAAGAACAGGACAGGGUGAGGAAUGACACCCAAAUUUGUCAUCUGCCCUUCAAAUCCAUAUGCAUCUUUGUGGGCUUACAGAUCCUGUUCUGAACAACUAUAAACUUAUACAUGAAGCUGGUACAAUUUAUUGGAAAACUGAACCAACAAUGUAAGACUAUUCAGUGUGCAUAAUCAAUUAGACAGAAAGGCUUGCAACAUUUUUAUUCACACUGUGGCUCAUACGCAAAAUGACUGGUAAUAUAGUGUCACCCACAACAGUUGUGGCAUCGUUUUAUCUUAAGCAGAUUCCAUAACCAAUAUGUCAGAUGUCAAUAUUUACAAAAUAAGCAAUACAUGCACGUAAGUAUGUCUCAAAACAGUAGAAAAUGAGAAAAUAUUAAGUAUUUUGAACAACUCAGGAGAAUAUGGGGUUUUCUUCUCCCAUGGCUGUCUGCCCCAGUUAGACCCAUUUUUUGGAAGCUGUUCAAUCAAUUCUCAAGAAAUGUUCACUUACAUCAACCAAAAUCUGCUGACAAAGGCAGAUGCUAAAAUCUCACACAAUUCUGGUUAAGAAUUCCCUCAAAUUAAAAUUCGUAUUGUAGGUCUUUACCACACCUUUAGGAGUCAACCUCUUCAGUCCUUAGACUGAGACGGAGGUCUUUCUAUGACUGGACAGAACAGGCUUUGAAUUCUUUUUCUAUUUCCAUCUCACCCCUUUCUUACUCUGCUUCCAAAGAAGCUUUGGUUGUAGUCACAAAGUUUGUUUGUUUUUA